AUGUGUGUGUGUGGCCCUGGCAUUUGGGUACCCUGCGUAUCUGUAUGGCCCCGGUAUUUGGGUACCCUGCGUGCGCGCACACGGGCACCACAUACACAGCCCACACGCUUUGUUGUGAAGCUCAUCACUUCCCGAGGGCCCAGCCGCCGCAGAACCUCUGUGCGCAGGUUUCCAGGCAACGAGCGCUGCCAGCAGACCCGGGCACCGCCCCCGUGUCAGCCCCCCCGGCCUCCCGCCGCCCUCCCGCCUCCCCUCAGGCUCCCCGCUCCCCUCAGGCUCCCGCCCCGCCUCAGCCGCCCCCGCGCAGGCGCCGUGCGGCUCGCGGCGGAGCUGAGGGCGGGCCGGGCCCAGCCCGCCCCGUGCCGCUGCCGCCGUUACCGGGCGGGCGGCGGCCGAGGGGGGGGCGCGCGGGCCCCGCGCCAUGGGCGGCGGGCGGCGGGGCGCGGGGCGCUGAGGGGGCGGCGGGAGCAUGGCCGAGGCGCUGCGGGAGGAGCCGCCGGGCGGGCCGGAGUCGGAGGCCGAGCUGUCGCAGCGGCUGGCCCGCACCAAGGCCCGCUCGUACGGCAGCACGGCGAGCGUGGCGGCGCCGCUGGCCGAGCGCUACGUGGAGCACCGCCUGAGCGCCGGGGACACGCUGCAGGGCAUCGCCCUCAAGUACGGCGUCACGGUAAGGCCGCGGCGGGGCGGGGCGGGGGCCGGGCCCCGGGGCCGCCGUUCAGCCGCCGCCGCCGCUCCCGGUGCCCGCAGCGCCUCGCUCCUGGAGGCGCGGGGAGGCCCCGGCCGUGCGCCCUGCGGGGAGCGCCCUGCGGGGAGCGCCGCCCGGCUGGGCCCGUGCCCGAGGAGGAUCCGUCGCGGUGCGGAGCGAGAGGCGCUGCCCGGGGCGGGGUUCGGGGCCUCCUCGGGCUCUGGGAGAUCUGCGCGGGCCUUCCCGGUUCAGCAGCCUCCGGCAGCAUUCAGCCUUCGUGGCGGAAGGAAUGUUUAAGGGAAGAAAUAGAAAGUAGCUUAACCAAAUGCUGUAGGCAGAGUCAGUGGCAUUUUGAAUUUACCAGCGGUCUACAUUAA
rnacentral:lncRNA from 1 species